rnacentral:lncRNA from 1 species
AGCUUCAUAUAAAUUUUUUUACUACAAUUUGAUCUUUUAGAUUUUUACCAUAAUAUCUCAUUUGAUUUACAAUAGAAGAUAUUUCAUCAUAAGAGUUUCGAAUUCAUGUCAAAGAAUUUAAAGUUUUAAAAUUUUUACCUUGUCCGUACCUCGAAACAUACUUUUUAAUAUUUUUUAGGCUUCUAAUGAUUGAUGACAUCAUGAUUAAGGGAAAUAGGAAAUUAUCUAUUAUUUCUUACAGCAUGUAGAGGGCUAUAAUAGCCCAAUUCCAAAUUCCACCAAUCCUUAUGAGAUAAAUAAUGUUUUCAUCUUAAUAGCCCAAAAUUGAUAAUUAUCAUAUUUGAAUAUAGAGAGAAGUUGAUUAGGAACACUUACU